rnacentral:lncRNA from 1 species
CUAAAUUUUAUGCAAAACAGUUCAGAUUGAUAGAAUUUUAAAGGAUUUCAUUGUGACUAUUAGAACCUAGAAUUGGAACAAGACCCAGGAUUCCAACGAGAAGUGAUGCAGAACUGCAUUUCAAAGGCUUUUUUAAUAUUUUGCUGACAUCUGCAUCACUGAUUGAUUUUAUUUAUGUAAAUAUGGACUAAUUGAAUUAUCAUACAAAAUUGCGUUGAAUCCAUCUCUCUCCAUCAAGAUGUGUAAGCAAUUUGCUGAGUUUUGCUAUCACUUUUAAGCAUAGAUGACUCAAAAUCUCAUAUUAACUUUAUUUUCUCUCAAUUUAUUAUUUUGCCCAGGUUUUGAUACAAUGAGCUAUUCAGUAUAUCAGGAUUGUGAAGAUGCAGUUUUUCACUUGUUUAUAGGCUUGAAUUGACUAGAUCACUGCUAAUGUUCACAUCAUUGGACAAAUAAUCUUCUAUUGUAUCUCUUAUUUGAGACAUUCAUUUUUUUCACUGACAUAACUACACAUCUCAAAAUACAUCCCUGCAAAGUACCGGCUUUGUGAAAGGAAAUUUAUUAAAAGAUCUCAAAGAAAAUUAAUGGACUACCCAAAGAUAUGACAUAUGUUGACUUGGUUGAAAACAUCAUUCCAAUAGAGAAAAGGAAGAAGAAAACCAAAGUUACCCCAAUGGAUACCCACUGCAAUGGUUUCCAAGGACAUCAUGGCCUUUUAUAGCAGUUGUGUCAGACCGUGUGUGAAGCAAGCCAAAGCUAAUACAAGAAAGGUUCAAAGGAGUUGGAGCUACAGCACACGGGAUAUUUAUAUCAAGAUACCUGACAAUAUGUGGCAUUCUUAUUUCAGCUUUGGCAGGAAUAUUAAGGAUGCAGAAGCCAUGAGAGACAAACCUCUAAGAUGGUUCUUUUGCUUCAAACCUGGAUUAUGACCUUCAUCUCAUUACUGAUUUGGAUCCAUAAGCAGCAGAAAGGCAGGACUUUCCUUCUGGACUUGACGUUGACUCUGGCUCUUGAUGCUGAUCCAGCUACUUACCACAUCAGAUCUUGAAAUUUAAUCCUGAUACUUACACAGCUGAGGGUCAAAGGGAUAUUCAAGACUUAUCCAAGUUCAACCAACACAAAAAGGCAUUUUGGCAACUGCUCCUGUAGUAGCGCUCCAUGGAUGUCCAGUUUGAUGUUUCAAUGUCCUUAUCAGAGCAAGCAUACAGAAGUCAAAUUUCCGUCUUUAUUUUUUAUUUGUAACUUGAUCUGAUGAAUGACUCACAGCAUUGCACUCAACCAGAAAGUUUCUAUUUUCACAGCUUUGGAAAAAGUGUAAAGCAAAUCUUUUUCCGUUUUUUUUUAAUUUGGAGAAGUUAAAAUAAAUCGGCAAGAAAACAAAUUAAUAAUACCA